GGAUUAGAUACCCUGGUAGUCCACGCAGUAAACGAUGAAUACUAAUUGUUGGCGAUAUACAGUCAGUGAUACAGCGAAAGCGUUAAGUAUUCCACCUGGGGAGUACGCCGGCAACGGUGAAACUCAAAGGAAUUGACGGGGGCCCGCACAAGCGGAGGAACAUGUGGUUUAAUUCGAUGAUACGCGAGGAACCUUACCCGGGCUUGAACGUAGGGAGACAGAUUGGGAAACCAGUUCUCUAGCAAUAGCUGCCUACGAGGUGCUGCAUGGUUGUCGUCAGCUCGUGCCG
rnacentral:rRNA from 1 species